GCCUUUAUACUUAGCCCCACACACCCUGGACUCCUUCACAAUGAGGACAAAUAAAAAAAGAAACGGACUUUGAAGAAACCAACAUGGGAGGAGAAGGUUAAUUAUGGGCAGAGGAAGAAAGAAGCCAAGCAGUGCUCAGUUAAUCCUGCUGUCAGUUGGUGUUAAGGCAGCGAUCUAAGCACUGGAUUCCAAGAGAAAGAAAGAGGCAGCAUCGUAGAAGGAAGAGAGGAACAAAAACAAAAAGAGGGGAGGAAAAAGAAAAAGAAAACAACAGCAGCAGGAGAAAAUACCAAAUCUAUGCUUGGACCUGGGCUUCUUUCACGCCAAUGCAAAAGGGAAUAUGCAGCACAUUUUUGCCUUCUUCUGCACCAGUUUCCUAGGGGCAGUGUUGGGGGUCAAUUUCCCCAGCAACAUCCAGAUCGGGGGAUUAUUUCCUACGCAGCAAUCCCAGGAACAUGCAGCGUUUAUGUUUGCAUUGUCUCAGUUCACAGAGCCCCCCAAGCUGGCUCCCCAGAUUGAUAUUGUGAAUAUUAGUGACAGCUUUGAAAUGACCUACACCUGUAAGUAA